rnacentral:rRNA from 1 species
UACGUAGGGACCGAGCGUUGUCCGGAUUCAUUGGGCGUAAAGAGCUCGUAGGCGGCUGUUCAAGUCGAACGUGAAAACUCGGAGCUCAACUCCGAGCCUGCGUUCGAUACUGGACGGCUAGAGUCUGGUAGGGGGAUCUGGAAUUCCUGGUGUAGCGGGUGGAAUGCGCAGAUAUCAGGAGGAACACCGGUGGCGAAGGCGGGAUCCUGGGCCUGUACUGACGCUGAGGAACGAAAGCGUGGGGAGCGAACAGG